AUUAACCCUUUCUGUGUUGGGUGACAGUCGUUAUUAUUAUCAUCGCCAUUUAUAUAGCGCCAACAGAUUCCGUAGCGCUGUACAAUAUUAUAAGAGGGGGGAUUUAACUAUAAAUAGGACAAUUACAAAAAACCUUACAGGAAAGAUAGGUUGGAGAGGACCCUGCUGAAACGAGCUUACAUUCUAUAGAUAUAACGUAGAUCGUCACAGUAAAUCCAAAUUGCCCAUUCCUAUUGUACAACGGACGCCUUGGGAUAAAAAAUGACAGUAAUGGUAACAUUGUCCUGAUUGAGCCUAUCCUAGCUCUACCACCUCUGCUGGAAGGUUAUUCCAUGAAUCUACCUAUUUCCAUGUAACAGAAUGAUACUAUAUAUCUGCAGUAUUUUAACACCACAUUAUAUCUCGCUGCUGCUCUGUAGAAAUCAUUUUACUUACCGGUAUGCAAGUUAUUCCCGAGCCUUGUCAAUCAGCAUUAACCUCUUGUUUUAAUUUAUUUUCCUUUCUCUUCCCCUCUCUGUCCAAUUGUUUGAGUUAUGCGUCCUGGCCCCCAAUAUACGGACACGGCUUGUCCUUUUUACCCCUUGUAGUUAUCGUUGAUUCCACAUUACUGACUGCUUGUUCACCUGGGAAUUUGCACCAUUUUAAUUCAUGAAAUAAAUCGUUAAUCAUUGAAGUGGUGAGAGGCAGUGGGGAGCUGAUUGGGGUAUUUAUCCUUACGGUAAAGAGGAGGUGGGGGGGGGAGACACCCAGGCAGGAGCACGAAUAGGAAACAGUAUUCCCAGAAUUCUACAGUUAUUUCUUUCACAAUAGUCACAGUAACGUUUAAAAUAGGGAAAUGUGCCAAAAAAAUGUUUAAUUAACAUUUUGUACUCCACACCAGCUCUCCAUUGGGAACUUCAACACUACGUCAGUUAGUCUAAUAAAUUCCAGCUGUAUAGAUCAAACAGAAUGGACAAUAGAAAAUAAACUUUGUUAGCUGUGAGUUUAUAUAUAAAGCUGAUAUAUCCAAAAUGUCAAAUCUAUAAACUGGAACAUGUGUAAGACUUGUCUGUUAUACAGAUCUGCUGCUCUCUGACGUUCAUGGCUGCAAAGCAGAAAACUAGCACAAAGAUCAUUUCUCCUAAUUGCGUUCAUUAAAGAAGAGGCCAAGCUUGAAGUGGUGAAAUGUGGAUAAAAUUGUGUCUGGUCAGAGUGGAGGACGGGGCUGUGGCCAAGAAAAUAUGUUGGGGCCCACACGCUAACACGCAAUCACAUACACACACUAACACACAGUCACAUACACGCACUACACAUGCAAUCAUACACACAUACACACACUAACACGCAAUGACAUACACACACAUACACACAUUAACAUGCAAUCAUACAUUCACUCUGACAGACAGUCAUACAGAGAGGAUAACACACUUCCAUCAGCACACAGACAGUAAUACACAACUUACCUACUGCCUGGAGAGGGGGAGAGCUCUGCUUGUUCUCCCAGGGGACUUGUAUUAGGAGAGCAAGUCAGUUCCUUCUACUCCGCCUAACGCUUCUACUGACUGGGAUAUAACAUCCUGGGACCGGCUUUCUCUAACACACUGCGCAGUAGGUCUGGGUGCCGUAAUCAAGCGUCACCGACUCAGAUAUUCUGAAACAUAGGGAGUGAUGAGUUAAAAAAAUAGCAGAAGGGCUCAAAAACAGGAUUUGUCCAAGUGUGAGUUUUAAUGCAGUGGUGCUCUGUGAUAUACUCAUUCAUACUGCACAUUACCGUGAGUUUUAUUGCAGUGGAGCUCUGUGAUACUGUUACGAACCGCCUGUAUUCAGUGUGGUACGUUUGUCUGAACUCCUGCAAGGUUCAUGUGAUUAAAGCGCUCCUUCUAUCGCACACCCAAACAUCAGUUGAGACUAUAUGAAGGGUACAAAAGGAAUAGUUUAAUAUGGCCAAGUUGCCUGUUUAUAUACACAGACCUCCAGCAUGUGAUCUCCAGCAAAAAUAUAGGUAAACCCGCCCAGGUGUCUCUGUGCCUGGGAGAUAAGUGAGUUUGUUUUUGCUUAAACUAAUUAUCUCCCAGGCACUAGAGGUACAGUACAUAAAACACAUAUAAUAUUGAUAGGAACCCCCACAAGUCUUAUAUCCCUGGAUAGCCUGGAUCUGAGCGCCCGAGUUGUCCAAAUAGCGCUUUGAUCCAGUCGUGUAGCUGAAUCGCCACUGGGGUAAAGUUUGGACCGACCGCACACAUGGCUGCUGUCCAAAAUUGUUCCAUAAGAAAAGAGGUAGCGGUCGGUCAAUCUCCGGGAGUUCCUAUACGAAUUUAAACGAAUGAUCCACCUGGCUCGUAGGGAGCGAAUGUUUCCCUAGUUCAGGAGUGUCUUUUCCCCUAACAGCGCUCUCCUGGCUUGUCUGUGUGAGAAGCAGGCGACGGGACAAUGUUCCCGGGGUUCGCGAGUUAAGAUAUCUGUCAUACAGUACCACGNNNNNNNNNNNNNNNNNNNNNNNNNNNNNNNNNNNNNNNNNNNNNNNNNNNNNNNNNNNNNNNNNNNNNNNNNNNNNNNNNNNNNNNNNNNNNNNNNNNNUCAUACUGCCCAGAAACUCUUAUUCCUAGUCUGUGUCUAACAAACUCAGGGAAAUCUUAACAACUUAUAACAACGUAUUCAUUGGAUACCAUCAUAUCCAGAAACCUAUUCUCCCUAGUCCAUACCUUUUAUAGACUUAGGUCAAAUAUAAUUGUGUACUAUACUCUUUCCAUUCAAUUCAAUUCCUCUUGGAUCUUUGAACUCUUAUAUCCAAGGCUUUCUUAAUGUAUAUAAUUACUUAAUAUUAAUCAAUAUAAAUUAUCCUUCCUUAGUUUUCUUCCUUAUGUUACCAUUGUUUGUUUUACUUCACCUCGAUUAUAAACAAAUUACUCAUUAUAGUUAAUCUAUGAAAUACUAUUGAACUCAAUCUUUGUGGUAUUAAGUAACCAUGAUCCUUAUUUUAUCGACUUCAUAUUUUAUCUUCCUCUGAUACUUCUCAUUCUAUGUAUAGGUAAUAAUGUAAUAGUUCUCUUCAUAAUACCAUCCAUUAAUAAUUUUACUCCAUGUGUUAAAUAGCUAUAAGUAGUCUCUUUUGGUAUUAAUACACUCAUAACUGUUACAUAACUUUUCAUUGUCUCUUUUCUUUUUCGUUAAUAUUUAGCAAUUGAUAUGUAUGUUAGUGUCAAUGUUUUAUUUCUUUGUAAGUCUGUUAAUCUUCUGUAUCGAAUGAACUCUGUAGAAUCUUCCAUCACAGUUUGCAGAUCAGAUGAAAAGUCUCUUUCCAACAGUCGAUGUCCAGUAGUCUGAAGGAAUGCUUUCCUGAUUUAUUGCCACAUGGAUCUGUCACGCUUUACCUACAUUAAAACAAAUAACAUGUGCAGCAUCAAUACAAUGGCUUACAAUGUUUAUAUCUCAUUAUUAUUACACAGUUUAACAUUGAAUCAUACUGACUACACAAAACAUACUCAUAUCCUCUCAUGAGAUCUACCAUCUACUGGUCAUUACAUCUAUGCGAUGUGAUGUAUAAUCUUUAAAUUUCCUUUAUAUUAAAAUCUUUCUGAACAUGUAAAUUCUCAAUUCUCAAACUUUUUAUUACUCAUACCCCCCUUUUAAACUGUUUAAUAAUCUGGAGGUAUAACCUAAUCACAUGUCAGAUGUUACAACUAAAUAUUGUUUUCCACUAUACUUUAGCUAUAGUAGCCAUUUUGUCACAUGAAACAAACUACAAAAAACAUAUAUUGUUUCCUUCAUCAAAUGUAUUUGUAAAUCUAGGUUUUAUUCUAUCAAAACUUGUGUCUUCUAUGUAGUCAAAACAUAUGUAUGUCCAGGCUUUGCAAAAUAUAGUAAUCCAUUAUCAGUCAUGAUAUUAAAAUCUCAUUCUCAUGAAUUAAAUCAAAGAUUUUAAAUCAACCUCAGAAGUAACAAGGAAUAUAUCCAUUGUUUUUUCCUUCUGUAAAAUGAUUGGAGUUACUGUAUAAUCGCAUACACCCAAUAUAACCUUGCAUGUUCCUAACUGCUACAUUAGUGUAUUUCAUACUGUCAUAUUUGCAAACUUGAUGUAAAUUUUUAUUUUAAUUAAUUAACCUAAUACUUUCUUAUAACACACAUAUAAAACAAUGAAAAAACAGUUCAGACUAACAAUAUUAAAACAACAAACUAACAUAGAUCUCUAUUCUUGUGCUGUUUUUAAUUCUGGAAUCAGCCUGUGUACAUCUGUUGGCAGACAUAUCCAUGCUUAUUCCCUAAAUUGAUCAUAUCUCUUGAAGUUAUCUGAUUCUUAUAACUUUCUGAGUUGCACUGCAUUGCUUGUCUGUCUCCUAAUUUCGAUUUAGCUAAAAUUGCUUUUAUUUGUCUGAUUAUCAGUUUACAAGGAAAGGCUUUAAUUGAUUUAUCUCCACAUGUAUUUUCUCUGUCAAAAUUUUCAAUCAACAAAUUUAAUUUCUCAUUUGCUUUUGAUUUGAUAUCUCGGAUAAAAUAUCUGCAAGAUCUUAAAUAAUGUUGUUUGUUGCACCAAAAACAAAUAACUUUAGGAGUUAUAUUUUGCCCUAUAUUAUCAACUCUACAGUUUUUAGUUGAAUAAAUUGGGAGGGGCUCAGCUGUCUGUAUCACUCUACACUCUGUCCUAGAAGAAGAAGGAGAAGGAGGGGGACGAGGGCUGUAAAAUCUGCACUUCUUUCUCUGCCUAAAUCCACAAGUCGUUUUAACCCCUUCAUUAUUGGUUUCUCUCCUUAAGUUAUCCAAGAACAAAGCUACCUCUGUCAAAGUGCUUUUUUCUCUAGCUAACACAAUUGCAGUUGGAUCUAGAUCUUGAAAUUUUUUCACAAAUUCAUUAAUUAACUGAUCUUCAGAAAAAUCAGCAACAAGUCUAUAUGCACUUUCAAAUUUUGCAAGAAAACUAAAUAUAUCCUCCCCUUUGUGUGGUUUUAGUUUUUCCAACAUUUCAGUGUCUGCAAAAUCAUUCCCUGUUGUUAAUUUUAUUAAUUGUGUUAAUCUGUCUUGCUUAUUUCCAUAUAUUAUUUCAUCAUUGUCCUCGAAAUUUACAGGCGUGGUCAGUCUACAUGCCAUUUGAGUCGGCAGCCAUGUUUUAAAUAGUCUAUUCCUUUGUUCGUCAUUUAGGCUGUAUUUGUCCAAAUUUGACUCAAACAUUUCAGCAUUAGUAAAUGCAUCCACUGACAUGUCAUAAACUGGAAUACAUUUCACAAUUUUCAUUAAUUGUUCAUGGAUUUUCAAAUUAAGUUUUGCAGCUCUGUCUUGAAAUUUACAUUUCUGCAAAUCACUCUGUGAGGAUACAUUUUCAGUAUCUGUUAGUUCUGGGAUUAGAUUCUGUGCCUUUAUUUUUCUUGUAUUAACACACACUAGUUUAACUUCAUUUCUAAGCUGGCAACUCAAAUCAUUUCUUUGUUCAACUCUAUCCUCUAAUUCACAGACUUUUUCUGAUAAUGUUCUCUCUGUUACUUUGUUACACUGUUCAUUUAAAUCUGAUUUGUCUUCUGUUAACCCAUUCAAAUCUAUUUCUUUUUCUGCUGAUUCUAAAUUUUCUUGCCCUGCAUCUCGUUUACAAAUCAAUGCAUUGUAAGUACAGACUAGUUUCAUAACAUUUCUGAUCUUUUGUUUUUUCUUAUUAACAAACAAUUUCUUGGCAAUUUUACUAUUGGCAAUUUCACAUUGUGUGUAUAAAGAUUGCCACAACACAGCAUCUGAAUAGCUGCUAUUACAUGCAAACUGCAAUUUAUUUUUCUCUGCAACAUCAUUUAUGAAUUCCAUGUUACUCACCAGAUCAGUUAUUUCUGUCUAUUUCGUUGCUUCAUCCACACAGCUGCGCAGUUCUUUGCUUGGACGCUUGCCAAUGUCUGCCACGUGCUUGCUUCUAGAAUUCACGUUGUAUCUUGUGCUUUUUGUCUCAGUUGUAGAAAAUAGUCUUGUACAGUCUUUGAUUUGAAAACUCUAUUUUUCUUACAAACCACAGUUCUUCUAUGACAGUCAGUCUAGAUUCUUUUUUUCUCUUCAAGUUUGUUUUCCCAGUUCAAAAAUAGCUUUGUAACUCGAUUCUUCUCUCUCCCCCCUUGAAGUGGGAACAAAACUUUGAAUAGAAGACUGGCAGGCUAGCCAAUGUAAAAAAACUAGAUGAAUGGAUGUUCAAUGUAAUAAUGUUGAUUCUUCUUAAUUUCUUCUCAUCUUCGGUUGAUUGAUAUAUAUACGUCUUUUGUAUAUAUAUUCUUGGGCCAAAUGCUCGCCACAAUAAUAUAUGUCUAUAUUAUUGAAAAGUAGUAAUACUCAAUCUGACUUACGGUUUCUUCAGGUUUAUUCUUUGUUACGGAUACAUAAUAAAGGAUGUUACAGGAUAGUGGACAUUCAACAGCAGAUGGUAAUUGCUGGACUUCUGAUGGGAGAGUUACAUCGUUGUACAGAGCCAAGAGCCAAGCCAAGUGUGAGACCAAGACUGAGAGACCUCGUGUCCCUCUGUUACUAUAUAGAAGUGCUAAUACUAACGUCAGCAUAUAACUCUAGCCAUAUAAGGACAAAACCCCCACAUCCACAUUCCAGAACUCUCGGACAAAGAAAGCCUUGUGACUUAUUGAUACCAUCUGUUACUUAUGUCAAUCCACACAUCCAUAUAUAUAAUCAAUAGAAACAUAGAAUAUGCAAUAUUCUACAGUGUGUAUAUGUGUAAAUGUGUGACUGUAUCUGUUUGUGACUGUGUGUCUGUAUCGGCAUGUGUGUCAGUGUGUGUAUAUAUCUGCAUACAUCCCUGCAUUCCAGUGUAAACACUACACACAAACACAUCCCUGCAUUCCAAUGUAAACACUACACACAAACACAUCCCUGCAUUCCAGUGUAAACACUACACACAGACACAUCCCUGCAUUCCAAUGUAAACACUACACACAAACACAUCCCUGCAUUCCAAUGUAAACACUACACACAAACACAUCCCUGCAUUCCAAUGUAAACACUACACACAAACACAUCCCUGCAUUCCAAUGUAAACACUACACACAAACACAUCCCUGCAUUCCAGUGUAAACACUACACACAAACACAUCCCUGCAUUCCAAUGUAAACACUACACGCAAACACAUCCCUGCAUUCCAAUGUAAACACUACACGCAAACACAUCCCUGCAUUCCAAUGUAAUCACUACACGCAAACACAUCCCUGCACUCCAAUGUAAACACUACACGCAAACACAUCCCUGCAUUCCAAUAUAAACACUACACACAAACACAUCCCUGCAUUCCAAUGUAAACACUACACACAAACACAUCCCUGCAUUCCAAUGUAAACACUACACACAAACACAUCCCUGCAUUCCAAUGUAAACACUACACACAAACACAUCCCUGCAUUCCAAUGUAAACACUACAUACAAACACAUCCCUGCAUUCCAAUGUAAACACUACAUACAAACACAUCCCUGCAUUCCAAUGUAAACACUACAUACAAACACAUCCCUGCAUUCCAAUGUAAACACUACAUACAAACACAUCCCUGCAUUCCAAUGUAAACACUACACACAAACACAUCCCUGCAUUCCAAUGUAAACACUACAGACAAACACAUCCCUGCAUUCCAAUGUAAACACUACAGACAAACACGUCCCUGCAUUCCAAUGUAAACACUACACGCAAACACAUCCCUGCAUUCCAAUGUAAACACUAAACACAAACACAUCCCUGCAUUCCAAUGUAAACACUACAUACAAACACAUCCCUGCAUUCCAGUGUAAACACUACAUACAAACACAUCCCUGCAUUCCAAUGUAAACACUACAGACAAACACAUCCCUGCAUUCCAAUGUAAACACUACAUACAAACACAUCCCUGCAUUCCAAUGUAAACACUACAGACAAACACAUCCCUGCAUUCCAGUGUAAACACUACAUACAAACACAUCCCUGCAUUCCAAUGUAAACACUACACACAAACACAUCCCUGCAUUCCAAUGUAAACACUACAAACACAUCCCUGCAUUCCAAUGUAAACACUACAUACAAACACAUCCCUGCAUUCCAAUGUAAACACUACAUACAAACACAUCCCUGCAUUCCAAUGUAAACACUACUACAUACAAACACAUCCCUGCAUUCCAAUGUAAACACUACUACAUACAAACACAUCCCUGCAUUCCAAUGUAAACACUACACACAAACACAUCCCUGCAUUCCAAUGUAAACACUACAUACAAACACAUCCCUGCAUUCCAAUGUAAACACUACACACAAACACAUCCCUGCAUUCCAAUGUAAACACUACAGACAAACACAUCCCUGCAUUCCAAUGUAAACACUACAGACAAACACGUCCCUGCAUUCCAAUGUAAACACUACACGCAAACACAUCCCUGCAUUCCAAUGUAAACACUAAACACAAACACAUCCCUGCAUUCCAAUGUAAACACUACAUGCAAACACAUCCCUGCAUUCCAGUGUAAACACUACAUACAAACACAUCCCUGCAUUCCAAUGUAAACACUACAGACAAACACAUCCCUGCAUUCCAAUGUAAACACUACACAAACACAUCCCUGCAUUCCAAUGUAAACACUACAGACAAACACAUCCCUGCAUUCCAGUGUAAACACUACACACAAACACAUCCCUGCAUUCCAAUGUAAACACUACAAACACAUCCCUGCAUUCCAAUGUAAACACUACAUACAAACACAUCCCUGCAUUCCAAUGUAAACACUACAUACAAACACAUCCCUGCAUUCCAAUGUAAACACUACUACAUACAAACACAUCCCUGCAUUCCAAUGUAAACACUACUACAUACAAACACAUCCCUGCAUUCCAAUGUAAACACUACACACAAACACAUCCUGUCGAGAUGGCACCGUGUAGAAAAGUCCAAACAGUGUCUGUGAGUUAAAAUGGCCGCCAUCCAUUGUUCUCACCAUGUGCCUCUGAUACAGGAAAUGGUGGCCACCCAGUAACUCCACAGUAUGUCCCCAGAUGGUUCUUAAAGGGCCAGCAGCAGCACAACACAAAUCCAUUAUGCCCAAAUCAUGUCUUUAAAGGGCAAUACAUCCCAGGGGCUAUAGUCACAGGGCAAGAGGCGGGCAAGCAGUCCUCUCCAGGCACAAGUGGCGAAGGGCACUUCGUCACAGCAUGUUUUUGUAUGGAGUAAGUGUGAGUGAAUGUAGAGGUGUGUUUGUAUGUAGUGUUUACAUUGGAAUGCAGGGAUGUGUUUGUAUGUAGUGUUUACAUUGGAAUGCAGGGAUGUGUUUGUGUGUAGUGUUUACACUGGAAUGCAGGGAUGUGUUUGUGUGUAGUGUUUACAUUGGAAUGCAGGGAUGUGUUUGUAUGUAGUGUUUACAUUGGAAUGCAGGGAUGUGUGUGUGUAGUGUUUACAUUGGAAUGCAGGGAUGUGUUUGUGUGUAGUGUUUACAUUGGAAUGCAGGGAUGUGUUUGUAUGUAGUGUUUACAUUGGAAUGCAGGGAUGUGUUUGUGUGUAGUGUUUACACUGGAAUGCAGGGAUGUGUUUGUGUGUAGUGUUUACAUUGGAAUGCAGGGAUGUGUGUGUGUAGUGUUUACAUUGGAAUGCAGGGAUGUGUUUGUGUGUAGUGUUUACAUUGGAAUGCAGGGAUGUGUUUGUAUGUAGUGUUUACAUUGGAAUGCAGGGAUGUGUUUGUGUGUAGUGUUUACAUUGGAAUGCAGGGAUGUGUUUGUAUGUAGUGUUUACAUUGGAAUGCAGGGAUGUGUUUGUAUGUAGUGUUUACAUUGGAAUGCAGGGAUGUGUUUGUGUGUAGUGUUUACAUUGGAGUGCAGGGAUGUGUUUGUGUGUAGUGUUUACAUUGGAGUGCAGGGAUGUGUUUGUGUGUAGUGUUUACAUUGGAGUGCAGGGAUGUGUUUGUGUGUAGUGUUUACAUUGGAGUGCAGGGAUGUGUUUGUAUGUAGUAGUGUUUACAUUGGAAUGCAGGGAUGUGUUCCCUGCUGUAUAGUCCAAAACCACUGCACGAUGUCUCUGUGCACCAAAUACUGGCGAGAUGGCACCGUGUUGAAAACUCCAAACAGUGUCUGUGAGUUAAAAUGGCCGCCAUCCAUUGUUCUCACCAUGUGCUUCUGAUACAGGAAAUGGUGGCCCCCAGUAACUCCACAGUAUGUCCCCAGAUGGUUCUUAAAAGGGCCAGCAGCAGCACAACACAAAUCCAUUAUGCCCAAAUCAUGUCUUUAAAGGGCAAUACAUCCCAGGGGCCAUAGUCACAGGGCAAGAGGCGGGCAAGCAGUCCUCUCCAGGCACAAGUGGUGAAGGGCACUUCGUCACACAUGCUUACAUUGAAACACUGCUCAAUGCUACAUACAUUAAAUUGUGGGCGUUUUUUACAUUUUAAAGUGAUCUCCUGAUCACACACGGCAUGUCAUUAUUCCACACGCUAUCUCCUGAUCACACACGGUAUGUUGGUAUUCCACAUAUUAUCUCCUGAUCACAUGCAGUGUGCCGUUAUUCCACAUAUCUCCUGAUUCCACACUGUAUGGCGAUAUUCCACAUAUUAUCUCCUGAUCACACACGGUAUGGCGGUAUUCCACAUAUUAUCUCCUGAUCACACACGGUAUGUCGUUAUUCCACAUAUUCCACAUAUUAUCUCCUGAUCACAUACAGUGUGUCUUUAUUCCACAUAUUAACUCCUGAUCACACACGGUAUGUCGAUAUUCCACAUAUCUCCUGAUCACAUACGGUGUGUCGUUAUUCCACAUAUUAUCUCCUAAUCACAUACGGUGUGUCGUUAUUCCACAUAUUAUCUCCUGAUCACACACGGUAUAUCGGUAUUCCACAUUGUGACGAGACCAAUCUCGCCACAUUGCAUUGGAGAAGCCUAUUUGCCAGCCUCCUUCCACAUGACUAUGGCCCCUGGGAGAUGGUGAAAACGUAUGCACUUUUAUUGGGUGUGUAUGGCCCUUUAAGACAGUCAGUGGGCAUAUUGUGGCUUAUGGACUCUUUAUGGGACUGGUGCUGGCUCUUUAAACACCUUUUUGGGACAUCAGGAAGAUUGGAACACUGCCCCUUUAAGACGGUGUCCCCAGACUUGUUUGGGACAUUGCCCCUUUAACACGGUGUCCCCUGUGUCCCCAGACCUGGUUCAAACCCUUUGUGCAUGGCUAUUUCCCACUUGGUUCAGUAAAUGCGGCUUACUGAACCAAGUAUCACACAGGCGGACCACCUGUCUUGGGAGUGUGUCGGCAAUUUACCUCCCAGAAGCUGUGGUUAACCGCAGCUUAAUUGCCGAACGCUGGGUGGCCUUUGUUCGUUUGCCAAACACGUGGCGGCGGCCAUCUUUGUUGAUGCGAACAAGGUCAGCGGUAUGUGUAGCCAAAUUCAUGGAACUAAAAUCGGCUACACAUUUCCGCGAACACCGCUGAGCCCUACCUUCUCCCACAAUGAUUUUACAGCUGCAGAGACUAAGUCCCAUUCGGCGAUGAGACUUAGUAGUUUUUUCAGCCUGAAAUAGACCGGCCGCACAGCCCAAAUCUAUGGAACUGUUUUGGGCAUGAAAAUGUGCUUGCAGUCGGUCAUAAAGGGACCUCCAGCUAACUUUUUAACCCCUGGAUGGAUUUGGCUGAUUUUUGGUUAUGUUUAUGUUUAAAGUGUGCUGAUUCCAAAUAUGUAUUCCAAAGAUUGGAUGUGUAGUUUUAAAGUUACAGUGUAUGGAUAAAAACUGUAUUUUUACUGCCUGUGUUUAAUUAUGUUAAACCAUUGUGCAACAUAAUUAUAUCACAGGCAGAGGGGAGGAUUUUUGUGUGUAAUUGCUGGGAGUGUUUCUGUAAUGUACGUUUAUGAUUGGUUGUUGUGUAAAACCCUGUGGGUGGUACUAAUGUGUAAGAAUGUGUAUAUAAGGAUAAUAAACCCACAGCUCUGUCUGUUCACUGCUUGACCCUCAACGCGGAGCUUUGUCUCGUUCUUGGGGGGGGGAUUUACUGUAUGCUGUUCCAGUUUGACUGCUAGGAGUGUAAACCUAUUCGUAUGGUUUUUCCUAUUUGGCCGUUUACAGCAUUCGUAUGGUUUCCU
rnacentral:lncRNA from 1 species